CCUCUAGAAUAAAGUCUAGAGCAUUGGGUAUGAUUCGCUCUCAUGUACUUUCUGUACUCAAAAGUGCGUCUUCUCAGUUAAAAUAAAGUAGGGGUUGAAUUAAUGCGCUCCAUUGUUUUGUGCUGUUUUGUUGGGUUCAGUCAGCAAUCCGGGGCAAUAGUAGCAGCAAGGCAUCUCUUGCUGAGGGUGUAUUCUUGGUUGGAUGAUGCUAUUGAAUAAGUUCUCAAUUUGAGGUGGAGUAGACUUCUCAAUUUGAGAGAUUUUAUGUGACCAUAUCUAAUAAUUGAAGUUUUGCAGCUUAAGCUAGUGCUGAAGGAAAUUGAAAGUAGAUCAUCAAGAAAAUAGUAUAUUCAGCUACUUGCAGAAUGCCACAAACUUUAUUGCGAGCAGAGGCUUUCCUUGGGAUCAAAGAAUCAGAAAGAAAAAAAGCAUAUAAAACUCUGCAGCAACAAUCUACUGCAGUAAUCUUGUUAUUCACUUUAAAGUUAAGACUUCCGGCAACAACACCUCUGGCACUCUACAGAUUCCCUAGAUGUGACAAGCGAAGUAUAAAAGGAUACUUAAGACUCCUUGAAAGUAGUAACUCUGUUUAUUUAUUUGUGUUAAAAGUAGUAACUUUUAGACUGCUUGAAUACUUAAAGAAUAUUUUGUUGUUGAUGACAGUGUUGAAUGUUUUAAACUAAAUUGUGGAUUGUUAAUUCAAUGUUGAAUGUUCUUACUUUUUGUUAUUUGAAAAUCAAGUUCAUUUGA